AUUGAACGCUAGCGGGAUGCUUUACACAUGCAAGUCGAACGGCAGCACGGACUUCGGUCUGGUGGCGAGUGGCGAACGGGUGAGUAAUAUAUCGGAACGUGCCUAGUAGCGGGGGAUAACUGGCCGAAAGGUCAGCUAAUACCGCAUACGCCCUACGGGGAAAGGGGGGAUCGUAAGACCUCUCACUAUUAGAGCGGCCGAUAUCAGAUUAGCUAGUUGGUGGGGUAAAGGCCUACCAAGGCCGCGAUCUGUAGCCGGUUUGAGAGGACGACCAGCCACACUGGGACUGAGACACGGCCCAGACUCCUACGGGGGCAGCAGUGGGGAAUAUUGCACAAUGGGCGAAAGCCUGAUGCAGCGACGCCGCGUGAGCGAAGAAGGCCUUCGGGUUGUAAAGCUCUGUCUGGAGGGACGAAAGAAAUAGACGGUACUCCGGAGGAAGCCACGGCUAACUAACGUGCCAGCAGCCGCGGUAAGCAUACUCGUAA
rnacentral:rRNA from 1 species